ACUCAUUCAGUAAUAUCCCUCCCUUCCCUCCUUUAGCUGUCUUUAUUGCAGCCCAUCCUAGCCGUAGCCAUCGGCCUUGUCCUGGCUUUGCUGUAUUGGUGCUUGGGCCCAUUAUGGUAGAAAGGGAAAAUGGAUCAGGUGGAUGCCCGUCGCUGCUGUGACCGUUGCCGUGACGGGGUAUUUGCUUUCAAAGACCUCAAAAUGAACAACGUGAUGAACCAGUAACAAGCACAUUCACCAUGACAUGCAUACCUAGUAAAUGUUUCUCAAACGUGUUAACAUUUGUAUCCUUUUAGUCUGUGUGGUGUUAGUUUGAGUAACGAGUGUUUAAAUGCAACUUCUUACUCAAGUAUCGAAGGCCUUAGAAUAAUAA